rnacentral:rRNA from 1 species
GUCGAGCGAACAGACGAGGAGCUUGCUCCUCUGACGUUAGCGGCGGACGGGUGAGUAACACGUGGAUAACCUACCUAUAAGACUGGGAUAACUUCGGGAAACCGGAGCUAAUACCGGAUAAUAUAUUGAACCGCAUGGUUCAAUAGUGAAAGACGGUUUUGCUGUCACUUAUAGAUGGAUCCGCGCCGCAUUAGCUAGUUGGUAAGGUAACGGCUUACCAAGGCAACGAUGCGUAGCCGACCUGAGAGGGUGAUCGGCCACACUGGAACUGAGACACGGUCCAGACUCCUACGGGAGGCAGCAGUAGGGAAUCUUCCGCAAUGGGCGAAAGCCUGACGGAGCAACGCCGCGUGAGUGAUGAAGGUCUUCGGAUCGUAAAACUCUGUUAUUAGGGAAGAACAAAUGUGUAAGUAACUAUGCACGUCUUGACGGUACCUAAUCAGAAAGCCACGGCUAACUACGUGCCAGCAGCCGCGGUAAUACGUAGGUGGCAAGCGUUAUCCGGAAUUAUUGGGCGUAAAGCGCGCGUAGGCGGUUUUUUAAGUCUGAUGUGAAAGCCCACGGCUCAACCGUGGAGGGUCAUUGGAAACUGGAAAACUUGAGUGCAGAAGAGGAAAGUGGAAUUCCAUGUGUAGCGGUGAAAUGCGCAGAGAUAUGGAGGAACACCAGUGGCGAAGGCGACUUUCU